GACGCCGCGUGAGGGAUGACGGCCUUCGGGUUGUAAACCUCUUUCAGUAGGGAACAAGGCUACACGUUGUGUGGUUGAGGGUACUUGCAGAAGAAGCACCGGCUAACUACGUGCCAGCAGCCGCGGUAAUACGUAGGGUGCAAGCGUUAUCCGGAAUUAUUGGGCGUAAAGAGCUCGUAGGCGGUUUGUCGCGUCUGCCGUGAAAGUCCGGGGCUCAACCCCGGAUCUGCGGUGGGUACGGGCAGACUAGAGUGAUGUAGGGGAGACUGGAAUUCCUGGUGUAGCGGUGAAAUGCGCAGAUAUCAGGAGGAACACCGAUGGCGAAGGCAGGUCUCUGGGCAUUAACUGACGCUGAGGAGCGAAAGCAUGGGGAGCGAACAGGAUUAGAUACCCUGGUAGUCCAUGCCGUAAACGUUGGGCACUAGGUGUGGGGGACAUUCCACGUUUUCCGCGCCGUAGCUAACGCAUUAAGUGCCCCGCCUGGGGAGUACGGCCGCAAGGCUAAAACUCAAAGGAAUUGACGGGGGCCCGCACAAGCGGCGGAGCAUGCGGAUUAAUUCGAUGCAACGCGAAGAACCUUACCAAGGCUUGACAUGAACUGGAAACGCUUGGAAACAAGUGCCCCGCUUGCGGCCGGUUUACAGGUGGUGCAUGGUUGUCGUCAGCUCGUGUCGUGAGAUGUUGGGUUAAGUCCCGCAACGAGCGCAACCCUCGUUCUAUGUUGCCAGCACGUGAUGGUGGGGACUCAUAGGAGACUGCCGGGGUCAACUCGGAGGAAGGUGAGGACGACGUCAAAUCAUCAUGCCCCUUAUGUCUUGGGCUUCACGCAUGCUACAAUGGCCGGUACAAUGGGUUGCGAUACUGUGAGGUGGAGCUAAUCCCAAAAAGCCGGUCUCAGUUCGGAUUGGGGUCUGCAACUCGACCCCAUGAAGUCGGAGUCGCUAGUAAUCGCAGAUCAGCAACGCUGCGGUGAAUACGUUCCCGGGCCUUGUACACACCGCCCGUCAAGUCACGAAAGUUGGUAACACCCGAAGCCGGUGGCCUAACCCCCUU
rnacentral:rRNA from 1 species